rnacentral:rRNA from 1 species
UACGUAGGUGGCAGGCGUUGUCCGGAAUUAUUGGGCGUAAAGCGCGCGCAGGCGGUCCUUUAAGUCUGAUGUGAAAGCCCACGGCUCAACCGUGGAGGGUCAUUGGAAACUGGGGGACUUGAGUGCAGGAGAGAAGAGUGGAAUUCCACGUGUAGCGGUGAAAUGCGUAGAGAUGUGGAGGAACACCAGUGGCGAAGGCAGCUCGCUGGCCCGUGACUGACGCUGAGGCGCGAAAGUAUGGGGAGCAAAAAGG